AGUGAACGCUGGCGGUAGGCCUAACACAUGCAAGUCGAACGGCAGCACAGUAAGAGCUUGCUCUUACGGGUGGCGAGUGGCGGACGGGUGAGGAAUACAUCGGAAUCUACUUUUUCGUGGGGGAUAACGUAGGGAAACUUACGCUAAUACCGCAUACGACCUACGGGUGAAAGCAGGGGAUCUUCGGACCUUGCGCGAUUGAAUGAGCCGAUGUCGGAUUAGCUAGUUGGCGGGGUAAAGGCCCACCAAGGCGACGAUCCGUAGCUGGUCUGAGAGGAUGAUCAGCCACACUGGAACUGAGACACGGUCCAGACUCCUACGGGAGGCAGCAGUGGGGAAUAUUGGACAAUGGGCGCAAGCCUGAUCCAGCCAUACCGAGUGGGUGAAGAAGGCCUUCGGGUUGUAAAGCCCUUUUGUUGGGAAAGAAAAGCAGCAGGUUAAUACCCCGCUGUCCUGACGGUACCCAAAGAAUAAGCACCGGCUAACUUCGU
rnacentral:rRNA from 1 species